rnacentral:misc_RNA from 1 species
GAUGAAGAACGUAGCGAAAUGCGAUAAGUAGUGUGAAUUGCAGAAUUCCGUGAAUCAUCGAAUCUUUGAACGCACAUUGCGCCCGCUGGUAUUCCGGCGGGCAUGCCUGUUCGAGCGUCAUUUCAACCCUCAAGCCCCCGGGUUUGGUGUUGGGGAUCGGCUCUGCCCUUCUGGGCGGUGCCGCCCCCGAAAUACAUUGGCGGUCUCGCUGCAGCCUCCAUUGCGUAGUAGCUAACACCUCGCAACUGGAACGCGGCGCGGCCAUGCCGUAAAACCCCAACUUCUGAAUGUUGACCUCGGAUCAGGUAGGAAUACCCGCUGAACUUAAGCAUAUCAAUAAGCGGAGGA